AGAGUUUGAUCCUGGCUCAGAACGAACGCUGGCGGCGUGCUUAACACAUGCAAGUCGAACGCGAAAGGGACUUCGGUCCUGAGUAAAGUGGCGCACGGGUGAGUAACGCGUGGAUAAUCUACCCAAUGGUCUGGGAUAACAUUUCGAAAGGGGUGCUAAUACCGGAUAAGACCACGGAGUCUUUGGACUCUGCGGUAAAAGGUGGGGACCUUCGGGCCUACCGCAAUUGGAUGAGUCCGCGUGCCAUUAGCUAGUUGGUAGGGUAAAGGCCUACCAAGGCGACGAUGGUUAGCUGGUCUGAGAGGAUGAUCAGCCACACUGGAACUGAGACACGGUCCAGACUCCUACGGGAGGCAGCAGUGGGGAAUUUUGCGCAAUGGGGGAAACCCUGACGCAGCAACGCCGCGUGAGUGAUGAAGGCCUUCGGGUCGUAAAGCUCUGUCAGAGGGGAAGAAAUGCGGGGUGCUAAUAUCGCUUCCGCUUGACGGUACCCUCAAAGGAAGCACCGGCUAACUCCGUGCCAGCAGCCGCGGUAAUACGGAGGGUGCGAGCGUUGUUCGGAAUUAUUGGGCGUAAAGCGCGUGUAGGCGGUUUGUUAAGUCUGAUGUGAAAGCCCCGGGCUCAACCUGGGAAGUGCAUUGGAAACUGGCAGACUUGAAUACGGGAGAGGGUAGUGGAAUUCCUAGUGUAGGAGUGAAAUCCGUAGAUAUUAGGAGGAACACCGGUGGCGAAGGCGGCUGCCUGGACCGAUAUUGACGCUGAGACGCGAAAGCGUGGGGAGCAAACAGGAUUAGAUACCCUGGUAGUCCACGCCGUAAACGAUGAGUACUAGGUGUUGCGGGUAUUGACCCCUGCAGUGCCGCAGCUAACGCAUUAAGUACUCCGCCUGGGAAGUACGGCCGCAAGGCUAAAACUCAAAUGAAUUGACGG
rnacentral:rRNA from 1 species